rnacentral:rRNA from 1 species
UACGUAGGGGGCGAGCGUUGUCCGGAUUUAUUGGGCGUAAAGAGCUCGUAGGCGGUUUGGAAAGUCGGGUGUGAAAACUCCGGGCUCAACUCGGAGACGCCACUCGAUACUGCCAUGACUAGAGUCCGGUAGGGGAGUGCGGAAUUCCUGGUGUAGCGGUGAAAUGCGCAGAUAUCAGGAGGAACACCGGUGGCGAAGGCGGCACUCUGGGCCGGAACUGACGCUGAGGCGCGACAGCGUGGGGAGCAAACAGG